UACGUAGGGGGCAAGCGUUGUCCGGAUUUAUUGGGCGUAAAGAGCUCGUAGGUGGUUCGGUAAGUCGGAUGUGAAAUCUCCAGGCUCAACCUGGAGGGGUCAUUCGAUACUGCCGUGACUAGAGGUCGGUAGGGGAGUGUGGAAUUCCUGGUGGAGCGGUGAAAUGCGCAGAUAUCAGGAAGAACACCGACGGCGAAGGCAGCUCGCUGGGACGGUACUGACGCUGAGGCGCGAAAGCGUGGGGAGCGAACAGG
rnacentral:rRNA from 1 species